GGGGUUAUAGCUAGGUGGUAGAGCGUGUGCUUGGCAUGCACAGGGUCCUAGGUUCAAUCCCCAGUACCUCA
rnacentral:tRNA from 1 species